rnacentral:tRNA from 1 species
GCCCGGAUAGCUCAGUUGGUAGAGCAAUGGAUUGAAGAUCCGUGUGUCAGCAGUUCGAGUCUGCUUCUGGGCA